rnacentral:lncRNA from 1 species
AAAAUUACAAAAGUGAUUAUGAUGAAUUCUAACCCCCUUACCUUAGUAGGUUAAUCUCUCUAGCUUAGGCUUCAAUUUUGCUCCUAGCUCUUCCCCCAACCCUUGAUUCUUCAAGUCCUCUUCUCUCUACCCUUUUCUCCACUUUCUCUCUCUAUUCACUCUCAAAAAUAUCUUAUGAAGGAAAGUGUGAGGAAAUUCUCAUAAAGUAGGUUUUUAUACUAAGUCUCCUUAUUGGGCCUAACCCUCCACUUAAUGGACUUAACUCAUUUCUAUUCACAUCUCAAAU